CCUGUGGUUGCCAGACCGAAGAGGUCAUCAAUUCUCGACACAUCUAGUUGACACUGAGACUCUUAAGAAACUGUCUAGAAUGAUGAAAUUCAUUUUUGCGCUCACGUGUCUACUGGCACUGAUGCUAGCCGUUACUUUCGCGCUGCCUGCGGUUAACGAUGAAAGUAUAAUUGCAGUUCCAUCCGAUGCGCUAGUGAUGAGUGAAGCCGAGAAUCCUCAGGAUCCACAGGGAACGUUUGGAUUACUUCUUCUCAAGAAGAAAUUACUCCUGUUCGGUUAAUUUUUACACCCGGUACCUUUUUUCGCAUUCAAACGAACAAUUUGCCUUGAAUUUUAAAUGUUCCAAAAAAAAUGUGACAUAUGAAAAAGCAGCAUGCCAAUAAACUGCAGAAUUACAAUAAA